GCCGCGUGCGGGAAGAAGGCCUUCGGGUUGUAAACCGCUUUUGUCAGGGAAGAAACGGUCUGGGCUAAUACCCCGAGCUAAUGACGGUACCUGAAGAAUAAGCACCGGCUAACUACGUGCCAGCAGCCGCGGUAA
rnacentral:rRNA from 1 species